GCAGACUCCAGGCUCUGAGCUGUCAGCACAGAGCCCAACGCGGGGCUCCAACCCACAAACAGCGAGAUCAUGACCUGAGCCGAAGUUGGACGUUCAAUCGACUGAGCCACCCAGGCGCCCCUAAACCAGGAGCCUUUUUAAUAUAGAGUCCUCAUUUGGGGGAAGUUGGUGAUAUCAGAGGAGGACAUCACUUUGGAAAAUGAGUUAAAAAGAAAGAAAAGAAAGAAAGAAAAUCGAGAAAGAGGAAUUCCUGAUAUUUUCAGAGGAAGAAAUACCUGAUUGCUGAAAACAGUCCAUAUCCUGAACAGUUUCCUAGAAAUGCAACUGGUUAAUUUUUAUAAGCCAUUCCAUGCAUCAAACAGCAAGUUCUGAUGCUUCCAAUUGCCCAAAGAGUGUCUGAUAACCCCAGCAUUACAUAUGCUCAACAUCAUGUGACCCUGGUUCUGCAAGAAAGAAUAAUCAUGCUGGUCAUACAGUUUAAGAAGACAAAGAAAUGUGUGCUCAUUUUGGAAAACUUACCAUCUUCUGCAACUCAGUAAGACAGAGACCCCAGUGGAAAAGGGGCCAAGAUACAAGAUCAAAAUUCACAGAAAGGAAAAAGUAUAAAAAGCUAACAAGAAUAUGAAGAGAUGCUCAGACGCAUUAGUUGCCAGAAAGAUCCACCAUGGAAAUACGGCCAGGCCAACUUGCUCAGUGAUGAGAAACAAAACUCAUUUACUCACACCAUCCUGGCUGAUCUCCAGACUGUGCUAGACGCAUGUUACAUCAGCCAGCCUGUGGCCCAAGCACCAGGUGAGCAUGAGACCCUGAGCGAGCCCGGGAGAGAUCAGCUGAGCUGCCCUGCUACCCUAGAGAGGGAACCUGGCAGCAAAGGUUCUUGGGAGGUUCUCAUCUGGUGCUGGAGAUGAUUGGCUCCCCCAGUCGGUGAGGAAGGGAUCCUCCUGACCCAGCACCUAGACCAACCUCUGUUGGAAGAGACGGAGCUUGAGAGGCAUCCUGUCCUCACCCACAAUCAUGGUGCUAAUCAAAAGUGACCUUUAGGAUGAUCCACUGGCUUUGGAACAACUGCCUGGGACAUUUCCUUCCAGUAUCAGGUAUCUGUCUCCAGCAAACCUGUGCAAGCUGAGUAUCACCAUCUGGUCCUGGAUGCAUUUUGUUAUCAGUGCUGGAAGUGAUGAUACGGUAUGCCGCUGUCAUGUGCCCAGAGGAUGUAGGGGCCAGAGAGGACACUCAGAAGCAACUCUGCUACAGAAUUCUGCAUUUUCUCCAGCGGUACGAAGAGUGUGUUCACAGUUCCUGAUGACUGGUAGACAUCCCAGGGUGAGAAGUAUCUAGAAGACACAGUCAUGUGCAGUUCACAGCUUGACUCUGGAGAGUGAUCUCUUCCAGGCCCUCUACUACAAGGGUAUUUUCUUUUUCUGUCACUGUCACCCCUCCAACAGCAGAAGUUUCUGGCUCACCCACCGGAGAGGCUAAAGCUUGCCUGGAAUUAUAUUGCUUACAGAAUAAAGAGAAGUCAGAGCCUCUUAUGUAACUUGAAGAGUAGGAAAGAUCCAGUGAUAAAAACCAGUGCCCUGAACUUUUGCAAAGCACGAUCAAUCGCUGCGUACGAUCCUCCGGUCCUUGGCAAGAUCAUGAACUGGGAGCUGUGUGGAAAGACAACCGGAUUGGGAGCUAGUGUCCUGCCCUGGGUUUCUUCCAGGUGGCCCUACCACCCGUCAGCUGUCUGGUCUUGGGGGAAUAUAAAGAUUUCUCCUGACUUGUGUGAAUUUUUCCAGGGUCCUUUCUUUUGGAAAUGCUACAAGAUGGCUGUGUUUUCAGUGGUGGAAAUUAUCGAUAGGUCUCAAAAGCAAGGCAUCACAGAAUAUCUGCUUUCCAGUAGUGAUGUAUGACUCACCAAAGCCACAACAUUUUUUAUAAUACCCUUAGUUUUUUUCAUAGAAACAGAACUGAGAGUCCUAAUAUUUCCUGGAAUUUUUUUAAAAAAGGAAGGAAAAAAAGAAUUCAAGGAGAUGUCCAUUUGUUAGCCCAUCACUGGCACGCAUCGGCGUUAAAGAGUAAUUGGUGGGGUGACUGGAAGGCUCCGAGUAGAAUUCUCUGAAGGGGCAUGCCUGUGUUGACAGGGGAUGCUGGCUGUUGGCUGGGACUGCAGUUCAAUGGGGGUCAUUUGCCUCUCCAAGGUUCUGCAGGAAGGUGUGGGACUGGAAUAUUAAUGUGGCCAUUUUUGGAAAAGACAACCUGCUCCAAGAAAUUCUCACCUUUUCCAUGUCAUCUGUACCAGCUGUAGCUGCAGAGAAAAUGUGAAAAGUGAGCCAGAUUCUCUCAGCUGCCCAGCUGCACCUUCCAGGCCUUUCUCCUGUCUUGUCUCCGCAUAGCUACGUGAAUGAACUGAUCUCGCACCUCCAUGGCUGUAGAAUCUUCUGCAGCGUCCCAUCACAUUCAGGAUAAUAGGAAAGGCAAAGAUGAGAGCUCAUAGGAAGCCCUCCCCAAAGUGCUGAGCCUUGGAAGAUGAAAAACAUGAGUACCAUGCAUGAGAUGGAGAUGACAGUGCACCUCCUUACAAUGAAAUGAGAGCAGGAGGAACCAAGGACAGGAUCUGGAUAGUCCACCAACGAAUGGGCCGUCCUUGUGGAUAUGAACUCAAGUGUCCAUUAACUGAUGAAUGACUAAAAUGCGGUAUAUCCAUACCGUGGAAUACUAUUCAGCCACAAACAAGAAUGAAAUACUAUACCCGCUACAACAUGGAUGAAUCGUGACAAAAUUUUGCCAAAUGAAAGAAGCCAGUCAUAAAAUGUCAUAUAUUGUGUGAUUUUCUUCACAUGAAAUGUCCAGUUGAGGCAAGUAAUGGAGAGACAGAAAGUACUUUUGUGGUUGCCUAGGGGUCAGGGCCUUGAGGGCAUAUGGGGAGACUGCUAAUGGGUCUGGGGUUUCUUUUAGAAGUAAUAUAAAUGUUAUAAAAUUGAUUUGUGGGGCACCUGGCUGGUUCAGUUGGUACAGCACACAAUUCUUGAUCUCAAGGUCGUGAGUUCAAGCCCCACAUUGGGUGUGGAGCCUACUUAAAAAAUAUAAAAUUGAUUAUGAUUGUACAACUUGGUGAAUAUACUAAAAAUCAUUUAAUUCUGUAUUCUAAAGAGAGGUAAAUUGUAUGGUUAUAUGAAUUUUAUCUCAAUAAAGCUAUUGUUUAUAAAAGAUCAUUAUAACAUGUUUAACUUAUAUAAAUAUGUUCAUUCCCUAUUUUAAGUUCUUAAAAUGUCCCAGAAACCAGCUCACAAUUCCCCAAUGCUUUGGGCUGCUCUGAAAAAAAAAAAAUGGUUCCGGACAUAUAGACUGUUUUUAGUCUUAAACAAAAGUACUUCUCUGGAUGAAUAAUUAAACUCAGAAGGUGGUAAACCUUCUCCCUUCUCAGCCUUUUUGUUAAAAUGGGGACUAGGCUCAGGACUUGGCCACUCCAAGUGGCCAAAUAAGUGAUCACUGAAUUUUAGAGCAAGAAGGGGGUCUAGUGACCAGCUAAGAAGCAUCCCAUGAACAGAUUUUUAUCUUGCUAUGGAUUCUACCAAAGCAAAUAAGGGCUUGGAUUCUGAUAGUUUCCUCAAGUGGUAAUUGCAGGAACAACUAAUAAGUGGAGAAAGACACAAAAGGAAGAAAAACCAAUAAAAGAUAUGAUGAAACAUGGGUUGCCUUAAGUGGGCAAUUGGGGCUCAAUCCCACUGGGGACACUCUGUGAAGAUAUGUACAAUAUGUCUCAAAAUUGCCCCAGAGGAGUAUAGGGAGACUGAGGCAUGUAACCACCAGCUCACAUGUCCUCUUAGUUGGGGACUGGUGUCGAAGAGUUAACUCUCCCUCACAUCUGGGCUGUGUCUGCCUGCCAUAGAAGAAGCUUCUGCUGAAGAAAUCCUUCUUCAGGCUUAGAAAAAGAGCAAGGCAGAUGCUUGAGGGGAAAGCCGUCAGCUUUCUGGAACUUUCUACAGCUUUGAGUGAGCUUAGGUGGGCUGUGGAGUUGAGAGGCGGACGAACAACAUCAACUACAGUCUCUUGUGGCAAAGGACACAUAAGAGGGAUGGGAUUUUCACCACUGCUCUGGCUCAAAAGACAAUUUCCAAUUCACCUUUCCUGCCCCAUCUUGAUUAGGAGGUGGAUUUCCCUUCAGUUUCAUCACCCCACAAGUGACAAAGUCCUUUUCUGAUCUGUGGGACUGAUGAGCAUCUAGGACCUCCACCAGUAGCUUGUCCAUAGGAGAUGGAUCCAUGCAGAACAGUGGAGGGGUCUAGGCAGAGUCUCACAGGCAGCAACAAACCUCACUUACAUCCAGGGACUCCACUGUCUGGAGAUUGGUCCAUAAUGAGAGAAAAGGGACAUUUAGGUGUGGAGUCAGUGACCUCAUAGCUUCUUGGCACAUGAAAGGUGCCUACCUUCUUACCACGGUUCUCAGCUUCUCCCUUUCACCUUAUUGAGGCUUAGCUACUGAGAGAACUCAUUCUGCUGACAUCAGUCCAAACCUCUCUGUACUAUAGCCCCCAAUGAUUCGUGGUAAAACAUUAAUUUUGGAAAUUAAUAACGUAAAUUCCACAUCUCAAGGUUAGAAGAAGUCAACAUAAAGCCAAACAAGGUUCCUUACCACAGAAUUUCCAAGAUCCUUCGGUAUGCCUGUAAGCCUUGACGACCCUCAAGGAGAAGUUUCAAGUUCACAGUAUUUCUUAAAACUAUUCUCCCAGAAAAGAUUUUCCCAUAGAUUUUCAUGGAACUAGUGUUCUACAGAAUACACUUGGGCCAACACUGGUAUAGCCCAAUCCAUUUGUUUCACUGAUGAGGAAACUGGAGUCCACAGAAGCAAGGUGACUUGCACAAGUCAUGCUAUAAGAUGCCGAUGGAGCCAGAACUUAAACCCACAAUUUCCAUCUUUCAUAUCUCCGUGCCCUCUGCUCAGUGACAGUACAAUGGUCAUGGUUUCACCUGUGAUGGAAAGCUCCUGAGUUGUCCUUUCCCUGUCCUUUGUGUCUUCGAGAAAUGUCAUCCUCCAUCACUAUCUGAACCAGAGAAAUGAAACAUUUGUGUCAUUCCUAUGGUCAACAACUGUCAACUAGGAGAAGCUAAAUGUGACACGCUCUCACUAAGGAUAUAUAAAUGAGGUUUCUAAGCAGCAAAGAUACUUUCUCCACUCUCUCUUGCCCCCUCUACUAGAUGAAUGCUAAGAACACUGGGACCCUAGGGAGUGGCAAAGCCAUACAAUGGAAAGAAGUCUGCUUUCUUGAACCUGCAUGCAGAGGGAAGCCACUGGCUUACCUGCAAAGAGUCCCACAUGAGCAAGAAAGAAACUUCUAUGAGGAUAAACCACGCCAGCCGAAUGAGCUAUUUUUCACUUCAACUCUCUCCCCGUCUUGCCUGCUGCCACCACCUGGUCUUGUCACCACAACAUUCCUUAACACCCCAGUAGGGAAAAGGCAAACCAGACAGAGGCAGACAGCCCUGGGCCCUAGAGUCUCAAGUCCACCAUCUGAUGAAGUGGCUUUGGGCAGGUUACCAAUCUCUGGGUCAUAAUGGAACAUGCACUGUGAAUAUCGUCAUGAAGCCCCCAUUUCUAAGGAGUGGAACAUGCUCAAGGAAGAGAGCAACUUUCCCCCAGCCUGACAGAAUGCAACAUAAUUGGUUUGUGCCAAACAUGGCAAUUCCAUUCCCUUUUCCCUAUGAUUGACUUGGGAGCUGGCAUGUGACCCAAUUCUGACCAGUGAGACUAAAGAGACAAUCUGUUGAUGAUGUCUUCUCCCAAGAUUUAUGUUUUCUGCUACAAAGAGUAACAGCCAGUUCCCUCCUGCCUGACUUGAAUGUAAUUGCAUGGGAACAUGAUACUUAGAGCUACAGCAGCCAUUCUGUGAUCAUGAGGCAACAAGCCAAAGAGCACAGGAUAAAACAGUGAAAAGAGAGAAUGAUAUCAUUAGAUGAUAUCAUUAAACUGCUGAACCAAUCUGGAACCAAUGACUUCUAGACUUUGAUUAAUUCGUGAGAUGAUUAAAAAUUUCUAUUGUUUUACCCACAA